rnacentral:rRNA from 1 species
UGGGGAAUCUUGCGCAAUGGGCGAAAGCCUGACGCAGCAACGCCGCGUGGAGGAAGAAGGCCUUCGGGUUGUAAACUCCUGUCAGGGGGGAAGAAGGCACCUGGGUUAAUAGCCCAAGGGCUGACGGUACCCCCAGAGGAAGCCACGGCUAACUACGUGCCAGCAGCCGCGGUAAUACGUAGGUGGCGAGCGUUGUCCGGAAUUAUUGGGCGUAAAGCGCGCGUAGGCGGCUUGUCAGGUCCGACGUGAAAUCCCGGGGCUCAACCCCGGACGUGCGUCGGAAACCGGCUUGCUUGAGUCUGGGAGAGGGAAGUGGAAUUCCUGGUGUAGCGGUGAAAUGCGCAGAUAUCAGGAGGAACACCGGUAGCGAAGGCUGCUUCCUGGAACAGUACUGACGCUGAGGCGCGAAAGCUAGGGGAGCGAACAG